rnacentral:rRNA from 1 species
UACAGAGGGGGCAAGCGUUAUUCGGAAUUAUUGGGCGUAAAGGGCGCGUAGGCGGCUGUUCAAGUGACGGGUGAAAUCCCUCGGCUUAACCGAGGAACUGCCUGUCAGACUGGAAGGCUUGAGACCGGGAGAGGUGAGUGGAAUUCCCAGUGUAGCGGUGAAAUGCGUAGAUAUUGGGAGGAACACCAGUGGCGAAGGCGGCUCACUGGACCGGAACUGACGCUGAGGCGCGAAAGCGUGGGGAGCAAACAGG